rnacentral:rRNA from 1 species
AGAACGAACGCUGGCGGCAUGCCUAACACAUGCAAGUCGAACGAGACCUUCGGGUCUAGUGGCGCACGGGUGCGUAACGCGUGGGAACCUGCCUUUAGGUUCGGAAUAACUCCUCGAAAGGGGUGCUAAUACCGAAUAAUGUCUUCGGACCAAAGAUUUAUCGCCUUUAGAUGGGCCCGCGUUGGAUUAGCUAGUUGGUGGGGUAAAGGCCUACCAAGGCGACGAUCCAUAGCUGGUCUUAGAGGAUGAUCAGCCACACUGGGACUGAGACACGGCCCAGACUCCUACGGGAGGCAGCAGUGGGGAAUAUUGGACAAUGGGCGAAAGCCUGAUCCAGCAAUGCCGCGUGAGUGAUGAAGGCCUUAGGGUGUAAAGCUCUUUACCCGGAUGAUAAUGACAGUACCGGGAGAAUAAGCUCCGGACUAACUCCGUGCCAGCAGCCGAC